UACGAAGGGGGCUAGCGUUGCUCGGAAUUACUGGGCGUAAAGCGCACGUAGGCGGCGCGGUAAGUCGGGUGUGAAAUCUCGGGGCUUAACUCCGAAACUGCAUUCGAUACUACCGUGCUUGAGGACUGGAGAGGAGACUGGAAUUUACGGUGUAGCGGUGAAAUGCGUAGAUAUCGUAAGGAAGACCAGUGGCGAAGGCGGGUCUCUGGACAGUUCCUGACGCUGAGGCACGAAGGCCAGGGGAGCAAACGGG
rnacentral:rRNA from 1 species